UUUCCGUAGGUGAACCUGCGGAAGGAUCAUUAAUGAAUAUUAGGGUGCUCCUCUUCAUCAGAGAGACCCGACCUUCAUUUCCAAACACUGUGAACCAAAUUCGAGUGGUAGUCUGCAAAGACGAAGCUCAUUUUUUACAUAAACUCUAUCAGUUUAAGAAUGUUUAAAAACCAAAACAAAAAAAAACUUUCAACAACGGAUCUCUUGGCUCUCGCAUCGAUGAAGAACGCAGC
rnacentral:misc_RNA from 1 species